AUUUAACAAUGCUGAGUGAAACGCACAAAUUAGUAAAACGAUGUAGGAUGGACCUUUAGGUGCACCGUAGCUGCAUCAGAAGACAGACAAACCAGGAAAAGAUGCGGGUGACUCUGCUUGUCAGAUUGCUGCUGAGUUUACUUGAAUUACCAUCACUCAACUGAUAUAGACAAACACUGGGUGGAUACAGAAGUAAACUGGCCAACAUCUACCAAUAAAGGAGUUGCAGGACGGAAACUAAAUGGCUGUCACUGAGAAGAACAAUACCGACUCAAUUUGGAUCUGUGCAUCUUAAAGGGAUAGUUCACCCAAACCUUUGUCAUUGUUUACUCACCCUCAUGUCAUUCCAAACCUGUAUGAUUUUCUUUCUUCUGUUGAACACAAAAGAAGUUAUUUUGAAGAAUGUUGGUAAACAGACAGCAAUUGACUUCUAUAGUAUGGAAAUAAAAAAAUACGUUGGCUACUGUCAACUGUCUAGUUACCAACAUUCUUUAAAAUAUCUUUUGUGUUCAACACAAGAAAGAAAAUCAUACAUGUUUGGAGGGUGAGGGUGAGUAAAUAAGGAAAAAAAAAUUUGGAUGAAUUGUCGUUUAAUGAAGACUAUGAAAUCCUCAUGAAGGAGUAUACAGACUUUGUGAAUGCUGAAAGAGACGUGACUAAUACAGCCAUUGGAAUUUACAUCAUCAAACCUGGUCUGUGACCCUCGAUCAGGUUUUGGAAUCAACUAAAAGUGCAGAAGCAUGGAGAUGUCACCUAGGCUUGUGCUCUGCAUUCGAGUGUCAUAUACAGCAUGAAUCUGUAUUACAUCACAAGACCUUGGGAAGAACUUUUUCUGUUGACAAGAAUGUUGUUACCUAUCUUGAACUGAGAAUGAUUACAAUUUGCUCAUUGUAAGACCUUUAGAAGAAAAUAAAUGUAUUUUAUUUCCAAAAAA